rnacentral:rRNA from 1 species
GCAUCCUGUUAAGUCAGGCAACGAGCGAGACCCACGUCCACAGUUGCCAGCAUACCCUCCGGGGUGAUGGGUACACUGUGGAGACCGCCGCUGCUAAAGCGGAGGAAGGAGUGGGCAACGGUAGGUCAGUAUGCCCCGAAUCUCCCGGGCUACACGCGGGCUACAAUGGUUGGUACAAUGGGCAUCUACCCCGAAAGGGGAAGGGAAUCUCUUAAAGCCAAUCGUAGUUCGGAUUGAGGGCUGCAACUCGCCCUCAUGAAGCUGGAAUCCGUAGUAAUCGCGUUUCAACAGAACGCGGUGAAUACGUCCCUGCUCCUU